GACGAACGCUGGCGGCGUGCCUAAUACAUGCAAGUAGAACGCUGAAGGAGGAGCUUGCUUCUCUGGAUGAGUUGCGAACGGGUGAGUAACGCGUAGGUAACCUGCCUGGUAGCGGGGGAUAACUAUUGGAAACGAUAGCUAAUACCGCAUAAGAGUAGAUGUUGCAUGACAUUUGCUUAAAAGGUGCAAUUGCAUCACUACCAGAUGGACCUGCGUUGUAUUAGCUAGUUGGUGGGGUAACGGCUCACCAAGGCGACGAUACAUAGCCGACCUGAGAGGGUGAGCGGCCACACUGGGACUGAGACACGGCACAGACUCCUACGGGAGGCAGCAGUAGGGAAUCUUCGGCAAUAGACGGAAGUCUGACCGAGAAACGCCGCGUGAGUGAAGAAGGGUGUCGGAUCGUAAAGCUCGGUUGUAAGAGAAGAACGAGUGUGAGAGUGGAAAGUUCACACUGUGACGGUAGCUUACCAGAAAGGGACGGCUAACUACGUG
rnacentral:rRNA from 1 species